GGCAUGCCGGGAGGUGCAGUCCCGCUCCCUCAGCCCGGCUGUGGGACCCCCUCAGCCCCGGCCUGGGGGCCCGGCAGGCGCUGGCAGCCCGGCCCGGGCUCUGCAGCCGCCCUCGGCCUCUUCCAGGCGAACACACGCCGGGUUUCUGCCCAGCUAACGCAGAUGCUCGGCUCUCCUCUGCGAGAUGAACACACGAGCAGGCAGGGCUGACAUGGCCGCUGCCCUGUCACAGCACAGCCCAGCACCGAGACCUCCAGGCUCUGCUAUUUCAAGAACUCAAAAGGGACAUCUUUGGUAAAGAAACACUGGACAGCUUCACGGGAAAAGCAGGCUGGUUUUCUGCAAGACUUGCUGAAAAGUUCUUGUGGCUUUUGUGAUGGGAUCAGAGCUGCUGUCAGAGCUGAAACCCAGCACUGUGACAAGCAAGAGAGAGAAUUGCCCUGAAGGCCUGCUCCAGGGUCUGCUUUUAUUCUGCUCAAAUCUACAGACAAAUUAAAAGGAAGUGAAAAUUGACAACUUUAGGUCCCAAAAGUACUAUGAAGUGGAUAAAAGCACUGGGCAUGGCUGAUCACUUGGGUUUUAAUGAAUGGUUUAUGGAUGCAGUGCAAUUGUAGCUGUUUACAAUUUAUUCCCCGUGUAAAAAAUUAUUAAUAAAGAUAUCAAAGUUGAUGGCUGAGCAAUUCUUUAGCCUUAAAAAACUUUCACACCUUCACCUUUCUUUUUUUUUUCCCC